rnacentral:misc_RNA from 1 species
GUGGGAGGGGGCUUGCUCCCGAUGGCGGCGGGUCAGUCAACAGUGCUCUGACUGAACAAUCGCAAUCGGGAGCAAGCCCCCUCCCAC